rnacentral:tRNA from 1 species
GUUCUUGUAGUUGAAUUACAACAGUAGUUUUUCAGGCUAUUGGUCUAGGUUGAAGUCCUGGUGAGAAUA